UACGGGGGGGGCUAGCGUUGUUCGGAAUUACUGGGCGUAAAGGGCUCGUAGGUGGCCAACUAAGUCAUGCGUGAAAUCCCUCGGCUUAACCGGGGAACUGCGUCCGAUACUGGCAGGCUUGAAUCCGGGAGAGGGAUGUGGAAUUCCAGGUGUAGCGGUGAAAUGCGUAGAUAUCUGGAGGAACACCGGUGGCGAAGGCGGCCCACUGGAUCGGUACUGACGCUGAGGUGCGAAAGCGUGGGGAGCAAACAGG
rnacentral:rRNA from 1 species